UACGGAGGGGGCUAGCGUUGUUCGGAAUUACUGGGCGUAAAGGGCUCGUAGGCGGCCAACUAAGUCGGAUGUGAAAUCCCCAGGCUCAACCUGGGAACUGCAUCCGAUACUGGAUGGCUUGAAUUCGGGAGAGGGAUGCAGAAUUCCAGGUGUAGCGGUGAAAUGCGUAGAUAUCUGGAGGAAUACCGGUGGCGAAGGCGGCAUUCUGGACCGACAUUGACGCUGAGGAGCGAAAGCCAGGGGAGCAAACGGG
rnacentral:rRNA from 1 species